UCCGUUUUUGAAAGUAGUCCAUCCCUAUAGAAGUAGUCACGUGAUGUUUUGGUGUACUAAAGUCACGUGACCUGUGCAGAAUAUUUUUCCAUGCUGACAUUUUGAAAAAUCUCCUUAAAAAUCAGCUUUUUCCCUACUUGGAAGAGUGCUGAGCAUCUGCUACAGAAGGGGUUCACGUAUAAGAGGCGAGGCUAGCUAAUGGCAGGGGUAUCCUCCCUCGGCUUUCGCCGAAACAGAUACAUGACAAACUAGCUAAGCAGUUGGUCCACUAGUUGAGUCAGCCAACCCAAGUCUGCCAGUCCAGUCAGUCAGCCAGCCAGCCAAGUCAACUAGACCAGUCAACUAGUACACUCCCCCAGCCACAGUUACACAGUCCAUCUAACCAGACAAUUUAACCAAACCAGUCAACUGCACAAGUCAACUAUGCCAAUCAACCAGGCCGGUCAACUACCCAAGUCAACUAGACUACUGUCAAGUUCAACCAUUCCUGUCAAGAUGAUGACAGAUACACUACACGUUACCCAUUGAAUCAGUUGGGCACUUAAGCGACUGGCCAACCAACCUAGUCAAAUCAGCCAACUAGCUCUGCCAACUCACCAGACAGCCUGACAGCCAGCCAACCUUUUCUUUGGUACAAGUGCAGACAACUAACACAACAGUAAACCAACCCAACUCACACAAAUAUCCCAGCCAACCAGUCAGAUAAAUAGCCAAGUCAACCAGUAUCUCAAGCCCAACCUUGGCAGGAGUGUAUCUAUGUGGCCAGUCGUCAAACAAUUUUGUGUUCAAUGUUUUCCUCGACAACCAACCAUUAUGGAAGUCAUAUACUUGAUAAGUUUCCCUACAGCUAGAUUUUUACUGAUGUGACAAAUACACCAAUCAUACUCUGUAGAUUCUAUCUGGCGUCCUAUACAACAGAUACAUUGAACAGAAAGGCUCCUGUUUUCAGACUAUAAUACAUCACAUGAAUUUCAUACACGAGUUUUGGAGAUUUGAGCCUCCAUACUUUCUGCUUCAUUGACUACAUGGUCUACUUUCUAGCAAAAAAUAGCUGAAAAUUUUGGCCAACAACCAUCAGGAAAUUGUGCCAGUAUUUCAUUGUAAAGGGAUUUUAAGUGAAUUCCUUUGCAGGUUUUCAUAGAUUAUAUAUUGAAGAAAUCAAAUAACAUUUUUGUGGAGUUUUAGGACUAAGCUUGUGUUAGCUAGGGACGCAACCAUCCAAUGAAUUUAAAUGUGUUCUCGGAAAGUUUUGAGUUAACUUUUUAAAAUUGUUAUCGUCUAUAAAUGACCAUUAUUUUCUAAUGAACAUUUUGGUAUAUGAUAUAUUUGUUGUUGUUAUAGUGAAAUAUUUCACUGGGUUGUAUAUGCAAGUGGAUAUGCCAUAUGACUUGCACGCCCCGGUAACAUCAGUCACUCAAACAGGUCCGACGAGGACCGCAAACAGCUAAAUUCGCGAGACAUGAAGAACAACAAACAAGUAUGAUUUCAGCACUUCUCCUUUGAAAAGAAAAGAUCGGAAAGUAUUUGGCUGUUUUGAGCCCGUUAAUAUUUUUUUUCAAACUCUUACUUUUAUCAUUAUCGGUUCAAUUCGAAUGAAUGUCACCUUGUGAAUUCCUGCCGGCUAAUAGUAUCGCGCGACUUCGACUCUUUGUGGUACCCAAACUUCAAACCUUGCCACUUUCCCCAUGGUCCUCGUCCAACAGCUAAAUUCGCGAGACAUGAAGAACACCAAACAAUUGUGAUUUCAGCUAUUCUCCUUUGAAAAGAAAAGAUCGGAGAGUAUUUGGCUGUUUUGAGCCCAUUAAUAUUUUUUUUCAAACUCUUACUUUUAUCACUAUCGGUUCAAUUCGCAUGAAUGUCACCUUGUGAAUUCCUGCCGGUUAAUAGUAUCACGCGACUUUGACUCUUUGUGGUACACCAACUUCAAACCUUGCCACUUUCCUCAUGUCGUUUUGACACAUUCCUACUGUCAAGAUUGAAUAGUUCAGCAUGAUUUUACCCAAGAACGACAUUUUAAAAGUGCUCAAUAAAUGCGAAUAUUAACGGUAGUCGUUGGUCAGACAUAAACUAUCUAAACCAACCAAUAGCAAUUUUUUAUAUAAUAGUCCACCCCUUCGGGAACCUCAAAGGUGCCGGAUUCAUACUCGGAACAUCUUAAUGUUAUAUGUGUAACAGAUGCGUGCCUACAGUUCGUUAUCAAGUCAGUAAUUGUUGUUUGUAACAAAUAAAUGCCGACAGUAUAUACAAAAUAAUGGCCGUCUAUCUGACUCAAAUAACUAUUCCCUAAUGAUUCAACAAAUUACUGCCACAAAUCACUUCUGCCUAAUCUACACCCGGUAGAUAUUUUACAUUAAUAUUAAUAUACCUCUAACACUAAUAUAGUCAAAAAGCCAACUUAAGCAACUGUAUCAAUAUAUCCGUCGCCCUGUAUCAACAGUAAAUAUCCCCUUACUGCGACACGAUUAAUUGUGUACACCCUUUACCGCGACACCCCUUGACCACGUCACCCUUUAACCGCGACUGCCUUUUGACCAAGUCACCCUAGCCACUAUAAAACCUAAGUAUGCCUUGGUAAACCCUGUGUAUUGGUACCUGUCACUCUGUAUCAACAGUACGUCGCCCUGUACUGUGAUACCCUGUGACUAUGCAUACUAUCCAGUAAUACAAUUUAUUUUGAGCAGGUACUAAACUAUACAGUGGAACCCUAGCUUAUGCAGCUAGGCCCAAACUUAUUCAGCUUGGUCACUGUUUACCUUUUUAGAGGUGUUCCUUCCACUUCGACCGCCAGAGCAAGAGAGAGCUUUCAUCUGAUGGAUCCACUAUUUAUGUACCUAGCCAUUAAAUGAACUGCCUUCUUUCAUCAGCUAAUUAAAACUACUCUUACUUCCUAGUUACAAAGAAAUAACUAAAGCAAGUGUAUACUAUCGAUCAUUUAUUGAACAAUGUAAUUAACAAUGAAUCAACCGCUUCAUAUGUAAUUCCCGUGUGAAAUUUGGAACAUCUUCAGGUUUUAUGCUAUUCCUGUUUUAAAAGAAAAUCGAUAACUGAGUUAUACAAGGGCUUGUAAUUAGAGCCUGGUAUAUUCCGACAGAAGCAAACACACGAAAGCAUUUUUAGCGAAAAGCAACAGAUGUCAAAAUCUGUGACUAAAACCGAAAUUAAUAGUCCCCACUGAAGUUUAUCCAGGGGUGACUAAAAAUAAUUAACAAUGCAUAAACAUAAUUUGGUUUCAAUCAAUUAGUUAAAAGAAUAUCAGGUCACUAAAUCACAAUUUCCGAUUGCUUAAAUAAAACCAAUCAGUAUAUCUUUAUAUAUUAUUAUAUUUUUUAUUAUAAAAUGUAAGAUAAAAGGAAAUUAUUAUUGAUAAAGUGAACAAGUUUCAAUAGUAAUAUAACCGUUAUUUGCAAUCAUUUAAGUUUUCAUAUGUUUCCUGAUGAAAAGACCAAAUAAAAUCACACCAAACGUGUCAUUUCUCUAUAAAACCUCCUGGUGUUAUUAAAUAGUAUAUUUAACAUAAACUUUAAACAAGGUAAUUUAAGGUAUAAAACAUGUAAAUGAAACUAUUCUAAACUAUGUACUGAGGUAAUUGAAAAUACACCAAGUAAAAAACACAAACGUCUUUAUAAUACAAGAAAAAAAUUAUCGUGGCCAAUUAAAAAAUGUUUUGGGAAUAUAGUUCACCAUUACAGAGGCACGGUAGUCUAGUAGUCUCGUUUUCCUUGAUAGUAGUAUUAUAUAUAUACUGCAUUAAUAUACCACCUACCAGUAGCGAAAUAUUCUUUAUCAUGAUAAUACACAGUAUGAAGUUGAAUAUGACUUGAGAACAUAUUUUGGAACGUUUAUUUUCAAACAAAGUCUGCAAACAAAGUCUGCUCAUGGCAAAUGACAUCUAUAACCGGAAAUAGCGAACACAUUGAGCCUAGAAGUCAUUUUGAAGAUUCAGUAUUUAGUUGACUUUUUAUGAAUGGGAAAAUGUGAAUAAAAGAAGUAAAACUGUUAUUAUAACAAAUGUUCAUGUUAUAUAUUAAGAUACGGCAUAUACACGUAAGUAAUUAAACAAAUAAUAUCUAGAAAUAAAUACCGCAUGCUAAUAAUGAAUCACAUUGCACCAAAAAAAACGGAUCGAUUGGGACAUUUUGUUUGAAACGUUUAAAAAAUUCAAAUAUAAAUGUGAUGAAAAUAACAAACAUUAGGUUACUGCAAAACAAUGUUUCAUCGUCGUCUACACAAAAAUGUAUGCAUAACACAAGUAAUGUCAUUCUUAUAACAAACAAAAAAUGCACCGUUAUGUAUGACAGGAGGGAUAUCCUUCCCAACACAUAGAAAUAUAUACAGUAAUGUUUUACAGGAGAGAUAUCCCUCCCAACACAUAUACAUAUACACAGUAAUGUGUGACAGGAGUAAUAUCCUUCCCAACACAUAUAAAUAUACACAGUUAUGUAUGACAGGAGUGAUAUCCUUACCAACACAUAUAAAUAUACACAGUAAUGUAUGACAGGAGAGAUAUCCUUCCCAACCCAUAUAAAUAUACACAGUUAUGUAUGACAGGAGAGAUAAGUUUCCCAACACAUAUAAAUAUACACAGUUAUGUAUGACAGGAGAGAUAUCCUUCCCAACACAUAUAAAUAUACACAGUUAUGUAUGACAGAGAGAUAUCCUUCCAACACAUAUAAAUAUACACAGUAAUGUAUGACAGGAGAGAUAUCCUUCCAACACAUAUAAAUAUACACAGUUAUGUAUGACAGGAGUAAUAUCCUUCCCAACACAUAUAAAUAU